rnacentral:rRNA from 1 species
AUGGUGCUUCAUCUAACUAGUUGUUAUGGAAUCUUCUGUUUACCCAAGCAUGCUUUCAUUCCUCUGCACAACCAACCCGGGAUGACUGUCUUCAGGAAGAUGCUCUUUGGUUCCAUGUACCUUAAGUCGGAUGACUCGGCUAGAAGUAACUCAGAGGAUGGCGGUAAUGCGCUCACCACCUCAUAUGGGGCUCGUCUAGCAAUGAUAAACACAAACACUGUUGUUGACGCUUCAGCCGAGGCCAUAAUUUUGUACCCUGAAAACGGAGGCAACCUGCACUGCUUCAAGGUGCUUACCACUUGUGCUAUUCUCGACGUGAUGGGACCCCCUUAA